AUUGAACGCUGGCGGCAGGCUUAACACAUGCAAGUCGAGCGAGCGGCGGACGGGUGAGUAAUGUCUGGGAAACUGCCUGAUGGAGGGGGAUAACUACUGGAAACGGUAGCUAAUACCGCAUACCAUCAGAUGUGCCCAGAUGGGAUUAGCUAGUAGGUGGGGUAAUGGCUCACCUAGGCGACGAUCCCUAGCUGGUAUGGGAGGAUGACCAGACACAAUGGAAGUGAUACACGGUACAGACUCCCACGGGAGGCAGCAGUGGGGAAUAUAGCACAAUGUGGGCAAGCCUGAUGCAGCGAUGCCGCGUGUAUGAAGACGGCAUUCGGGUUGUAAAGCACUUUCAGCGAGGAGGCGUUACUCGCAGAAGAAGCACCGGCAAACUCCGUGCCAGCAGCCGCGGUAAUAC
rnacentral:rRNA from 1 species